rnacentral:rRNA from 1 species
CAGCCGCCGCGGUAAUGCGGAGGGGGCUAGCGUUGUUCGGAAUUACUGGGCGUAAAGCGCACGUAGGCGGCUUGGUAAGUUAGAGGUGAAAGCCCGGAGCUCAACUCCGGAAUUGCCCUUAAGACUGCCGAGCUAGUAGGUGAGAGAGGUAAGUGGAAUUCCGAGUGUAGAGGUGAAAUUCGUAGAUAUUCGGAAGAACACCAGUGGCGAAGGCGGCUUACUGGCUCAUUCUAGACGCUGAGGUGCGAAAGCGUGGGGAGCAAACAGGAUUAGAUACCCCCGUAGUCCCUGUCUCUUAUAC